rnacentral:lncRNA from 1 species
UCAAGCAUCAUCACCACUUUUGCUCAGUUAUCAGUAGUAAUAACAGCAAUCAAAACUGAAACUGCUCCAGAUGCCUGUCUAGGAAGUAUGGUUUUCCAUCCUUCCUACUGCUUUCUUCACAAGAGAAUCCUCCACCUCAGUGGCCCUGAAGUGGCCUGAAGGGCCCGCUCUGCGGUCCUGCCACCAGUGCCCUCUGAGGUCCAUGGUCCCACGGCACCACGGCCGCCCAGUGCACUCGCCUCCACACUGAGUUUUCAUUUUUCCCAGUUAAGCCCCAUCUUCCGGAAAUGCAGCUCCAGAGGGUCUCUGUCCCCUCUUGCUGGUGGGGCAAGGGUCUGCGCAUCAGACCACAUGGACCCCUGCACCACCAUCUGCUCCGUCCUCUCCCUCUGGUCAGCUCAGCUUAUUAAACAAGCCUUGGUCAGGAAAAUCUAAACCACUUAAGGAACUGGGCAGAAAGAAACUGAAUGCAGGGAGAAGAAGGCUGGGGAGCCAAGGACAGGAGAGGAGACAUAGGGGAGUCACAGGGACCUGCCACCCAGAUCCCCACUGCCUGAUGUCCUGGCUGUGGAGGGCACCUGGAGCUGCCAGCAGAGCCUCCUGCCCACCAGCUGCUGAAGCCACAGUACAUCUCCUUCCUCCCACCUCCCAGACCUCUCACUGGUCUCAUCUGGGCACCGAACAUGGGAAGCCCCUCCUGUGACAGGCAGGGGAGAAGGAGGCUGUGCUGACAGACGGCCUGGUGAGGGAACCCGGGAGGCCUCCAGCAUCUGCACCCCUCUCCUACUUUGAUCUCUGUUUCACCAACAUUGCACCCCAACUUAAGGUCACAUAGCUACUGUCAAGCCAACAAGGUGCUGCCUCUCCCGCCGUGUGAGGGUGGAACCCCAUAAGCCACCACUGGAGGCAUCCAAGCAUGUUGAUUCCUUCUCUAGUUCAGACACCACCUCUCCUGGACAUCCUGUGGCCUAAAGACUAUCCUAGAAUCAACACUCCUUAAAUAGGAGUGGGGAAAGAAAAGGAAAAUGUGUGUAAUACAUGUGAAUCACAG